UUGACUCUCACGUGAGUGAUCCUUGUAGCACUAUCAUCCUCAAUGAUGGCAAAGAAAUUGACUUUGCUUUGCUCUAAAAUGAAAUGCUGUGUAUGCGGUUGGUAAGACACUUAAAGUCAAUGUGAAGGCAUAUCUUGGGAAUCAAAAUUUGAGUGGUUUACCAGCUUUGGGCAGGAGGUGCUGCAAGCAGUGGCAGUUGUUCUGAUGGAAGGCGAGUUCCAGAAGAAUGGAUCCUAAAAGCUGGUUAUCAGUUAGGAAUUGAAAGAAUAAGCACCCUUCAAAUAUCAAAAGCUGCAUCAGCUGAAGGAAACAUCCAAACUGGUCCAGAUUCUUCGUCUCUCAAUCUCUCUCAGUUUGUGUGUGUGUGUGAUGAACAUCAUCUUUAUCUCUUGAGGUCGGAUUAUUUUGCUGUCUCCUGCAAAUAUUUCUAAAUAAAGUUGGUACUUUCUCAAUCGCCCGUUUCCCUACUGUAAAUGCUGCUUUGCAAGAAAGCAUUUGGCU
rnacentral:lncRNA from 1 species